GGGCAUUCGUAUUGUGAUGUUAGAGGUGAAAUUCUUCGAUUGUCGCAAGACGGACCGAAGCGAAAGCAUUUGCCAAGUAUGUUCCCGUCGAUCAAGAACGAAAGUUAGAGGUUCGAAGGCGAUCAGAUACCGCCCUAGUUCUAACCAUAAACAAUGCCUGCCAGCGAUCCGCCGGCGGGCAGCUCCCGGGAAACCAGAGCUUUUGGGUUCCAGUUUGGGAUGCAGUUUACAAUCUUUGGAGCAAUGUAUACUAGCUGCUCACGAAUGUCCAUUAAAUUAGAAUCAUAAGUAACAUAAUCAUCUAUGAAGAUUGUAUCUUGUUCUAUGAGUUACAGACCAAGUCAAUGGCUGCGCAAAGUGAGGAAAAUUGCAUUGCUAGGCCCGCUAGAUCCCAGAACAUGUACAGGUGUGGAAAAUGCAACACAAAUUAGCAGCUGGAGCAGUUCCCUGCCAAAACCCGUACAGGUGUCAAAAGUGUAAUGCAACCCAGCAGCUGGAGCAGCUCCCCCACCCAAGCGUUGACAGUACAGGACUGACUCCACUGAUCACGGACAUCACAGCUGAAGGGUCUUUCUCCUGUAUUCCUUCUGGUGAUUGACAAGUGCGAUCAGAUAGUCUGGGGGAGGAGAGUCGGCCAGAUGUCAUUCGAUGUGAUCGAAACGGAGUGCACCAUCAUGAUAAAACCGCCGUUCGUUCCGGGGUCAAUCCGGCCCCCCUCACGGGCAGACUCUAUGGGAGGCUUGUCUAAUCCCCGACUCUAAUGAAUCCAACACCAGCAACACAUCCCGCACCUGCUGCAAGGUGACGAGGAAGAGUUGGAGGACGUCGUGAAAGAGGAAGGAGGCGCUGGAGAGUUUUGCCAGGAGAUAUCAUAUAUGGGAGGAUAGGAAAAUUGCCCUUCCUUCCUGCGGUCAUUGUACCGGAGGAAGGGAGGGCUGAUGAAGAAGCAGCCUACCACAAAGUCAAACGUGAG